UACCUUAAACCUAAAAAAUUUGGCGGCCACUGACAUAAUAAGAGGAGUUUGCCGCAUAAACGAUGAUCCUCGAAAAUCUUACCUAAGCUAACUAGUUUGUAUACCGCCAUCCAGAGUUGACCUAAAGGUUAACUCCACCAACAUUUAUCUCCAAGGUUAGGUCAAGGUGCAGCUUAUGCAAAGGCGCCCGUUAACUACAAUGCAUUAGUUAUGUGGAAUGAGAUGUUUAAAACUUCAUAAAAGAGGAUUUUAGAGUACCUGGCUUAAAGACUCCCCCAGGGACGUACAAGACAGUGGUGUACAUAUCGCCCGUCGCUCGCGGGA
rnacentral:rRNA from 1 species